CCCUCGCCUCGUCCCGACUCCCACUCCCACUUCAGCUGCCAACAAACUCUAUCCCCUUGCCCAACGCCCCAAAUCCCCACAGCCGUCGCAUGGCCUCGACCCUCCUUCCCUCCUGCGGUCCCACCGCACCCUCUCCUUGCUCGCAACCGCCUCUAUCCCACCUAUGCCCGAGUUCUGCCUUCCUCGCCCGCCUCCUCCUCCUUGCCAUCGGCGAAAGCGGUGAGCAUAGGGGCAGCGGAAAUGGCUGGAUGCGAUGAGCUUGCCUCCGACGGUGCCAGGAACCUCCACGCAAGGGCGACCCCAUGGAUCCGUCCCUAUAGGAGAGAGAAGAUGUGGAGGGAGGGUUGAAGGAUAGGGGAAGGUAGGCGUGCUAGGGCGGGGUGGUCUCGCCGGCGAUGACAGGGUCGGCUGACCGGAGUUGGAUCGAUAUCCCGGCUGGCACGGCUCGGCUCCAACUCCCUCUUCCACCUCUCCGCUCCCCGACACUCAAAUCUGGCUCUUCUGCACACAUCAGUAGCUACGGAAAGAAAUCUUGUAGUGGAGUGGGUUCAUUUGUAUGAUCUUGGAAGAUGACCUCUGAAUCCCAUUAGAAAGCAUGGCAGCGGAUUAAGGUUAGCGCAUUUCGAGAAGCCAACAGAUAGCCGCCUACUUCCUUAGGCUGACAAUCACCUGCAGGAUAAAGUGCAAUGUUUUGCUGAGGGGUUGGAGCAGGACCGUAGGAGGAGACAAGAUCAAGGAUUGGGCCAACAUGGUCGUCACGCACGAACCAGUGUAGCCCAUUGGCACUGGUAAAGUUGUAUCGGCUGCUCAGGCACAUGAAGUAAGUUCCUCCAUUUAGGUGUAUUGGUGUUUCUGAACUAGCAGGCACAAUUCAUCUCGUGACCGCUGGCCGUUGUCUUCCCUUCUACUAAAAUUUGUGACCAAGUGAUUAACCUGAAACUGAAGCUUGGUCUUUCUCCAGAUUUACCAUGGUGUAAUUUUAUGCUACAGUCAAGCCUUGGAUAGAAAAUAAACAUGUUAUGAAGAUGAUAUAUCAAUUUUAGAAAUACAUAUUGAAGGACUAUAGCAGUGUUUCUUUUUACUGAAUUUCGUUUUGUUUUUUCAUCUUAUUGCUCAUUUUGUUGAAAUGUUUAUUCAAAUGUGCCUAAUGUUUCUUUGUUUUUCUAGGUUUCUCAAAACUAACAAAUGCUGAUCUUUGAUAAAUUAGGAGGCUGAAGAUGCUAGCUUAUUGAACUCUCAAUUUGGAAUUUUUUUGGAGAUGUGUAGUGUUGAUAAAGAAAUGUAGGUAUGUAUGAGUAUGUUGUUUGCAUCUUGUGACGCUCACAUGCUCGUGCAACUGCUACCUAGAUUUGCCGCCACCGCCUCGAGAAGCUUCUGCCUGUAAAUCUAGUUGCCACCAUGGUAAUUUAUUUUCAGUCCCAACUCUCUUCCUGUCCCCCGCACUUGCUUGCUACAGGUUCUUGUGGUGUGCGUGCUUGUUGGCUUAGUGACGUGUGUGUUCAGGCACAUGUUGUCUUUGCCUGCCAGGGUGUUGGCGCUGCUACUUGGCCGGUUACAACGAGUAGGACGCUGUUAGGGUGGUAUUUCUCCCUGGUCAGCCAAGGAGUUCGCACAUCUCUCGGUUCUCUGGGCAUGUCACCAUGAACAAGCAGAGUGGGGGGACGCGCUUCUACUUGUUCUUAGAGGCUUAGGCACAACCUCUCCUUCUUUAGCUCAAUUGGGAUUUCUUACUUACCUCAUUCUCUUGUUUUACAUUUUUUCACUUGGUCACUUAUUUCUGGAAAGAUUUUAUAGUUAUUAUCUUGAGCUGCGUGUAGUUCAAUAAUGUUUCGGUUGCUACUUGGUGGGUACCUGAAGGAGAAUAAACAUUAUUGUUCGGUUGCUACAUUGGCUCUUUUUCUAGAAUAUGCCUUAAUUUAUGGGAAAAUGCAGUCUUCAUUUACUGAGUUAUAAUUUUUGUCUUGCUCUCUUCCAGGUCCCUCAUAUAGUGGUUCAGAAAAAAAACCUAUCCAAUGGAGAUGAUGCAUGAGGAGUGGCAAAGUCAUGAUCCAUGAAGCCCUAUGUUAUUCUUUUUCUCACCGUGAUUUUGCUUUUUUAUGGUUGGAUGCCAAGUAACCAAGCAGACGCUUUUUCGUAGAUUAGUUGCUUAGUUUCAUAAGUUGAAUUGCGUUGUCGAGUGCAGUGUGUAGGCACUUUCUCGAUUGCUCAGCAGGCGAUCAACGCGGCACAUGUGGAGGCUGUGAGAGCUGCGAAUGGCACUGGUCUUGUCAUACUUAUGAGCAGGAGAACGAUCCACAUUAAUCUUAAUGCCACUCUGAGCAGCCGAGAUGUUGACUGCUGCUUGAGAUUGAUUUCUACGUUGAAGGGAAGGGAGACCUAUUUGAGUUCCUGUAUGAAAGGGUAAAGAAGAAGGUGCAUGCUGUCGUGGUUGUUGCUGAAGGCGUUGGUCAGGAGUUGAUUACCCAGACUGAUGACCAGAACCGAGAGCGGGAUGAGUAUUUCAACAUGUUGUUCCUUGACAUUGGCCUUCUUCUAUAAAGUUUACAUGCAACUCU